ACUCAAAUGAAUUGACGGGGGUCCGCACAAGCGGUGGAACAUGUGGUUUAAUUCGACACUACGCGAGGAACCUUACCUAGGCUUGACAUAUUUUUGAUCGCUACAGAGAUGUAGCUUUCCAGGCGUAAGCCUGGACAAUUAUACAGGUGCUGCAUGGCUGUCGUCAGCUCGUGUCGUGAGAUGUUGGGUUAAGUCCUUUAACGAGCGCAACUCCUGUCGUCAGUUGCCAUUCCGUGAGGAAGCACUCUGAUGAGACUGCCUGGGAAACCAGGAGGAAGGCGGGAAUGACGUCAAGUCCGCAUGGUCCUUAUGCCUAGGGCUACACACGUGUUACAAUGGCUAGUACAAAGAGUCGCAAGCUCGUAAGAGUAAGCUAAUCUCAUAAAGCUAGUCUAAGUUCGGAUUGAGGUCUGCAACUCGACCUCAUGAAGUUGAAAUCGCUAGUAAUCGCAUAUCAGAACGAUGCGGUGAAUACGUUCUCGGACCUUGUACACACCGCCCGU
rnacentral:rRNA from 1 species